rnacentral:rRNA from 1 species
CCCUUAGAUGUUCUGGGCCGCACGCGCGCUACACUGAUGCAUUCAACGAGUUUCUUCCUGGUCCGAGAGGAAUGGGUAACCUUUUGAAAGUGCAUCGUGAUAGGGAUAGACUAUUGCAAUUAUUGGUCUUCAACGAGGAAUUCCUAGUAGACGUAGUUCAUCAGACUGCAUCGAUUACGUCCCUGCCCUUUGUACACACCGCCCGUCGCUCCUACCGAUUGAAUGGUUUAGUGAGAUCUUCGGAUUGGCGCCACUGCGGCUCAGCAAUGGGCUCGGUGGAUGCCGAAAAGUUGAUCAAACUUGAUCAUUUAGAGGAAGUAAAAGUCGUAACA